AAUCAUCAGCGGUGCCUAUCUGUUUUGUACUUGGAGGGAUCCCUUGAAGAGGCUGCAUGUGUAUUAAUGUGACAGGCAGCACUGCUGAAGCAGGGACCUGGCAGAAGAGACCUGGCUGUACAAAUUUUGCCUCAUUUACAUAUCUUUUCUCUCCAGAUGUCUCCUUGCUGGGAUGGUGGCAACCCACCUGUGCUGCAGGGCCGCCAAAGGCCAGCCCUGGCGGUGGCGCCAGCAUCAGGAAGGUGUUGUCAGGGAAAGGCCCUGGGCUAGCACUCGCCUGCUGUUGGAACUAGUUGGAGCUACCAGAGACUCUUGGUAGAGCUGGCAAAGCUUGCAUUGUGUCUCAUCCCUUCAAUAUGGAGCAAACUUCUGGCGGUCAGAUUUCUUAACCCCACUCGUCGAAGGAAUUUUGGCAGUGAAGAGAGGAGACUGGACAAUGAUUGGAUUUGCUAGGACGAGAGGAGACUGGACAACAAUUGGAUGCUUUCAUCUAAGGCAUAAAGUUCUGGUGGGUGGGGGUUUGUUUUGGUUUGGUUUAGAAAGGUCGUUUUUCAUUUCAUCAGCUGUUGAAGUCAUUGUGCAUUUCCCACAUAAACCAAACCUGAUUAGCCAGCA